rnacentral:rRNA from 1 species
UACGUAGGGCGCAAGCGUUGUCCGGAAUUAUUGGGCGUAAAGAGCUCGUAGGCGGUCUGUCGCGUCGGCUGUGAAAGCCCGGGGCUCAACCCCGGGUCUGCAGUCGAUACGGGCAGGCUAGAGUGCGGUAGGGGAGACUGGAAUUCCUGGUGUAGCGGUGAAAUGCGCAGAUAUCGGGAGGAACACCAGUAGCGAAGGCGGCUCGCUGGGCCACACCUGACGCUGAGACGCGAAAGCUAGGGGAGCGAACAGG